UAUAAGCAUCUAUACGGUGAAACUGCGAAUGGCUCAUUAAAUCAGUUAUCGUUUAUUUGAUAGUACCUUACUACUUGGAUAACCGUGGUAAUUCUAGAGCUAAUACAUGCUAAAAACCCCGACUUACGAAGGGGUGUAUUUAUUAGAUAAAAAACCAAUGCCCUUCGGGGCUCCUUGGUGAUUCAUAAUAACUUAACGAAUCGCAUGGCCUUGUGCCGGCGAUGGUUCAUUCAAAUUUCUGCCCUAUCAACUUUCGAUGGUAGAGUAGUGGUCUACCAUGGUUUCAACGGGUAACGGGGAAUUAGGGUUCUAUUCCGGAGAGGGAGCCUGAGAAACGGCUACCACAUCCAAGGAAGGCAGCAGGCGCGCAAAUUACCCAAUCCCGACACGGGGAGGUAGUGACAAUAAAUACUGAUACAGGGCUCUUUUGGGUCUUGUAAUUGGAAUGAGUACAAUUUAAAUCCCUUAACGAGGAACAAUUGGAGGGCAAGUCUGGUGCCAGCAGCCGCGGUAAUUCCAGCUCCAAUAGCGUAUAUUAAAGUUGUUGCAGUUAAAAAGCUCGUAGUUGAACCUUGGGCCUGGCUGGCCGGUCCGCCUCACCGCGUGCACUGGUCCGGCCGGGUCUUUCCUCCUGGGGAGCUGCAUGCCCUUCACUGGGUGUGUCAGGGAACCAGGACUUUUACUUUGAAAAAAUUAGAGUGUUCAAAGCAGGCCUAUGCUCGAAUACAUUAGCAUGGAAUAAUAGAAUAGGACGUGUGGUUCUAUUUUGUUGGUUUCUAGGACCGCCGUAAUGAUUAAUAGGGAUAGUCGGGGGCAUCAGUAUUCAAUUGUCAGAGGUGAAAUUCUUGGAUUUAUUGAAGACUAACUACUGCGAAAGCAUUUGCCAAGGAUGUUUUCAUUAAUCAGUGA
rnacentral:rRNA from 1 species